UACGUAGGUGGCGAGCGUUGUCCGGAUUUACUGGGCGUAAAGGGAGCGUAGGCGGACUUUUAAGUGAGAUGUGAAAUACUCGGGCUCAACUUGAGUGCUGCAUUUCAAACUGGAAGUCUAGAGUGUAGGAGAGGAGAAUGGAAUUCCUAGUGUAGCGGUGAAAUGCGUAGAGAUUAGGAAGAACACCAGUGGCGAAGGCGAUUCUCUGGACUGUAACUGACGCUGAGGCUCGAAAGCGUGGGGAGCAAACAGG
rnacentral:rRNA from 1 species